UCUGGUGAUCAUGCCGGAGGGGUUCCACCCGUUCCCAUACCGAACACGGAAGCUUGGGGCGCAAGCCCCUGGCAAAGCAGGUCAUCGCCAGGU
rnacentral:misc_RNA from 1 species